rnacentral:rRNA from 1 species
UACGUAGGGGGGCAAGCGUUGUCCGGAAUCAUUGGGCGUAAAGAGCGUGUAGGCGGCCAGAAAAGUCCGCUGUGAAAACUCGAGGCUCAACUUCGAGCUGUCGGUGGAAACUUUCUGGCUAGAGUCCGGAAGAGGAGAAUGGAAUUCCUGGUGUAGCGGUGAAAUGCGCAGAUAUCAGGAAGAACACCCGUGGCGAAGGCGGUUCUCUGGGCAUUACCUGACGCUGAGGAGCGAAAGCAUGGGGGAGCGAACAGG